rnacentral:rRNA from 1 species
AGGACGAACGCUGGCGGCGUGCCUAACACAUGCAAGUCGAACGGGACCAGGGGCAACUCUGGUUCAGUGGCGGACGGGUGCGUAACACGUGAGGAACAUGACCUUCGGCGGGGGAUAGCCGGCCCAACGGCCGGGUAAUACCGCGUACGACCACAUGGGGACAUCCCUGAGUGGUGAAGCAGCAAUGCGCCGAUGGAGUGCCUCGACGGCCUAUCAGCUAGUUGGUGAGGUAACGCUCGACCAGGCAACGGACGGGUA